rnacentral:rRNA from 1 species
AACCCGGAGAAAUUCGGACUAAUACUGCAUAAUAUUAUUUUAAGGCAUCUUAGGAUAAUUAAAACUACGGUGGUAAAGGAGGGGCAUGCGUAACAUUAGCUGGUUGGUAGGGUAACGGCCUACCAAGGCAAUGAUGUUUAGGGGACCUGAGAGGGUGACCCCCCACACUGGUACUGAGACACGGACCAGACUCCUACGGGAGGCAGCAGUGAGGAAUAUUGGUCAAUGGGCGAGAGCCUGAACCAGCCAUCCCGCGUGAAGGAAGAAGGCGCUAUGCGUUGUAAACUUCUUUUUCAGGGGGAUAAAAUAUUGUAUGAAUACGAUACUGAAGGUACCCUGAGAAUAAGCAUCGGCUAACUCCGUGCCAGCAGCCGCGGUAAUACGGAGGAUGCGAGCGUUAUCCGGAUUUAUUGGGUUUAAAGGGUGCGUAGGCGGAAUAAUAAGUCAGUGGUGAGACCCUGCAGCUUAACUGUAGACUUGCCAUUGAUACUGUUUUUCUUGAGUAUGGUCAAGGCAGGCGGAAUGUGUAAUGUAGCGGUGAAAUGCUUAGAUAUUACACAGAACACCGAUAGCGAAGGCAGCUUGCUGGGCCGUUACUGACGCUGAUGCACGAAAGCGUGGGGAUCGAACAGGAUUAGAUACCCUGGUAGUCCACGCCGUAAACGAUG